AGUGGGGAAUCUUGCGCAAUGGGCGAAAGCCUGACGCAGCGACGCCGCGUGAGGGAAGAAGGCCUUCGGGUUGUAAACCUCUUUCAGGAGGGACGAAGCCACUCGGGUUAAUAGCCCAGAGGGUGACGGUACCUCCAGAAGAAGCCCCGGCUAACUACGUGCCAGCAGCCGCGGUAAUACGUAGGGGGCAAGCGUUGUCCGGAAUCAUUGGGCGUAAAGCGCGUGUAGGCGGCCAGAUAAGUCCGCUGUGAAAACUCGAGGCUCAACUUCGAGCUGUCGGUGGAAACUAUCUGGCUAGAGUCCGGAAGAGGAGAGUGGAAUUCCUGGUGUAGCGGUGAAAUGCGCAGAUAUCAGGAAGAACACCCGUGGCGAAGGCGGCUCUCUGGGACGGUACUGACGCUGAGACGCGAAAGCGUGGGGAGCGAA
rnacentral:rRNA from 1 species